GAUUUCUGGCUUGGUGCGCCUGGCCCACUGCCUUCAGGUACGUGAGUGCCGGCGCGCGCCUGCCAUCCCUUCUAGAAAACGAUUCUGCCCUUCACUGGGCCGGAGUCGCGAUCUAGAUCUUUUACUUUGAAAAAAUUAGAGUGUUUCAAGCAGGCUUUAUGCUAUGAAUACAUUAGCAUGGAAUAAUAAUUUAGGACUUCGGUUCUAUUUUGUUGGUUUCUAGGACUGAAGUAAUGAUUGAUAGGGAUAGUUGGGGGUGCUAGUAUUCAGCGGCCAGAGGUGAAAUUCUCGGAUUCGCUGAAGACUAACUUAUGCGAAAGCAUU
rnacentral:rRNA from 1 species